AUACGGAGGGUGCAAGCGUUACUCGGAAUUACUGGGCGUAAGGGGCGCGUAGGCGGUUUGAUAAGUCAGAUGUGAAAGCCCGAGGCUUAACCUCGGAAGUGCAUUUGAAACUGUCAAACUUGAGUAUGGGAGAGGGAAGUGGAAUUCCUGGUGUAGAGGUGAAAUUCGUAGAUAUCAGGAGGAACACCGGUGGCGAAGGCGACUUCCUGGACCAAUACUGACGCUGAGGCGCGAAGGCGUGGGGAGCAAACAGGAUUAGAAACCCCGGUAGUCC
rnacentral:rRNA from 1 species